CCACAAGUCAACACCAAAUUAUCCUUUCAACGGGAUUUAAUGUAGGCCGUGGAGAUAUUGAUAGCCGUGUUUCCCAUGAUUCUAUGUAAUGCUUAUUUUUAAUGAGUUGAUAUAUUGCUUGUAAAUUUGUGCUGAUAUAUUUAUCAUUAUGUUGGAGUCACGGAUUAUGAACAUAUUUACUUUGUGAUUGACUUACAUAUUUUUGUGUUUUAAGCUUAAACAUGAAACAGCCAGAAACAACAGUGCUGACAAUCAAGCAGCAAAGAAUUGCUUUAUCAGGCAAGAAGAGUAAAAACAGGGACCAGAGUGGCCACAGUGUGUUUACUUCACCAUACAGUCCUUAUUGGCCGGUGCUGGGGGAAGAUACAGAAGUGGACUUGAACCAGCUGCUUAUUAGAAGCAGGUGGCACAUACAGUUGUGAUUUGGUUUAAAAUGGUUGAAGCAUCUUGCAGCCAAUUAGGAAGCCUGCCAUCAAAGUGAAUUGGUCAGAGUUGAGAAAGGUGCCUUGUAAGCAGCGCAGGGAAAUGAGAAUGAAAUUGCAGCA